AGAGUUUGAUCCUGGCUCAGGACGAACGCUGGCGGCGUGCCUAACACAUGCAAGUCGAGCGGGGAGAGAUUUUCGGAUUUCUCUUUAGCGGCGGACGGGUGAGUAACACGUGGGUAACCUGCCUCAAAGAGGGGGAUAGCCUUCCGAAAGGAAGAUUAAUACCGCAUAAAAUCAUAGCACUGCAUGGUGCUGUGAUCAAAGGAGCAAUCCGCUUUGAGAUGGACCCGCGGCGCAUUAGCUAGUUGGUGAGGUAACGGCCCACCAAGGCGACGAUGCGUAGCCGACCUGAGAGGGUGAUCGGCCACAUUGGAACUGAGACACGGUCCAGACUCCUACGGGAGGCAGCAGUGGGGAAUAUUGCACAAUGGGGGAAACCCUGAUGCAGCAACGCCGCGUGAGUGAUGAAGGCCUUCGGGUCGUAAAGCUCUUUGAUCAGGGACGAUAAUGACGGUACCUGAAAAACAAGCCACGGCUAACUACGUGCCAGCAGCCGCGGUAAUACGUAGGUGGCGAGCGUUGUCCGGAUUUACUGGGCGUAAAGAAUGCGUAGGUGGAUAUUUAAGUGGGAUGUGAAAUCCCCGGGCUCAACCCGGGAACUGCAUACCAAACUGGAUAUCUGGAGUGCAGGGAGAGGAAAGCG
rnacentral:rRNA from 1 species